rnacentral:rRNA from 1 species
AACGAACGCUGGCGGCAUGCCUAACACAUGCAAGUCGAACGAGACCUUCGGGUCUAGUGGCGCACGGGUGCGUAACGCGUGGGAACCUGCCCUUAGGUUCGGAAUAACUCAGAGAAAUUUGAGCUAAUACCGGAUAAUGUCUUCGGACCAAAGAUUUAUCGCCUUUGGAUGGGCCCGCGUAGGAUUAGCUUGUUGGUGGGGUAAUGGCCUACCAAGGCGACGAUCCUUAGCUGGUCUGAGAGGAUGAUCAGCCACACUGGGACUGAGACACGGCCCAGACUCCUACGGGAGGCAGCAGUGGGGAAUAUUGGACAAUGGGCGAAAGCCUGAUCCAGCAAUGCCGCGUGAGUGAUGAAGGCCUUAGGGUUGUAAAGCUCUUUUACCAGGGAUGAUAAUGACAGUACCUGGAGAAUAAGCUCCGGCUAACUCCGUGCCAGCCGCCGCCGUAAGAC